UACGUAGGCAGCAAGCGUUGUUCGGAAUUACUGGGCGGAAAGAGUGUGUAGGCGGUGCUCUAAGUCUGUUGUGAAAUCUCCCGGCUUAACCGGGAGGGUGCGGCGGAAACUGGAGUGCUUGAGGGUGGGAGAGGUAAGCGGAAUUCCUGGUGUAGCGGUGAAAUGCGUAGAUAUCAGGAGGAACACCUGUGGUGUAGACAGCUUACUGGACCACUUCUGACGCUGAGACACGAAAGCGUGGGUAGCAAACAGG
rnacentral:rRNA from 1 species